AGCAGCCGCGGUAAUUCCAGCUCCAAUAGCGUAUAUUAAAGUUGUUGCAGUUAAAAAGCUCGUAGUUGAAUUUCGGGAUUAAUAUGUUGGUCGUGCCUUGGUACGUACUGGCAUUAUUGAUUCCUACCUUCUGAAGAACCUCGAUGUCAUUAAUUUGGUGUCUUGGGGAAUCAGGACCGUUACUUUGAAAAAAUUAGAGUGUUUAAAGCAGGCUCGCGCUUGAAUACAUUAGCAUGGAAUAAUGAAAUAGGACGUUUGAUUCUAUUUUGUUGGUUUCUAGGAUCGACGUAAUGAUUAAUAGGGAUAGUUGGGGGCAUUAGUAUUCAAUUGUCAGAGGUGAAAUUCUUGGAUUUAUUGAAGACUGACUACUGCGAAAGCAUUUGCCAAGGAUGUUUUCAUUAAUCAAGAACGAAAGUUAGGGGAUCGAAGACGAUCAGAUACCGUCGUAGUCUUAACCAUAAACUAUGCCGACUAGGGAUCGGAUGAUGUU
rnacentral:misc_RNA from 1 species